UUCUUGUUGUUGGUUCUUCUUUGUGCAC
rnacentral:piRNA from 1 species